GAUGAACGCUGGCGGCGUGCCUAAUACAUGCAAGUCGAGCGAACAGACGAGGAGCUUGCUCCUCUGACGUUAGCGUCGGACGGGUGAGUAACACGUGGAUAACCUACCUAUAAGACUGGGAUAACUUCGGGAAACCGGAGCUAAUACCGGAUAAUAUAUUGAACCGCAUGGUUCAAUAGUGAAAGACGGUUUUGCUGUCACUUAUAGAUGGAUCCGCGCCGCAUUAGCUAGUUGGUAAGGUAACGGCUUACCAAGGCAACGAUGCGUAGCCGACCUGAGAGGGUGAUCGGCCACACUGGAACUGAGACACGGUCCAGACUCCUACGGGAGGCAGCAGUAGGGAAUCUUCCGAAAUGGGCGAAAGCUUGACGGAGCAACGCCGCGUGAGUGAUGAAGGUCUUCGGAUCGUAAAACUCUGUUAUUAGGGAAGAACAAAUGUGUAAGUAACUAUGCACGUCUUGACGGUACCUAAUCAGAAAGCCACGGCUAACUACGUG
rnacentral:rRNA from 1 species